UACAGAGGGGGCGAGCGUUGUUCGGAAUUACUGGGCGUAAAGGGCGCGUAGGCGGCCUGCUAAGUCAUACGUGAAAUCCCUCGGCUCAACCGAGGAACUGCGUCUGAUACUGGUUGGCUUGAAUUCGGGAGAGGGAUGCGGAAUUCCAGGUGUAGCGGUGAAAUGCGUAGAUAUCUGGAGGAACACCGGUGGCGAAGGCGGCAUCCUGGACCAACACUGACACUGAGGAGCGAAAGCGUGGGGAGCAAACAGG
rnacentral:rRNA from 1 species